AAAAAAAAAACAAACUAACUAACAAAAAACUGUAAAUUCUACUGUGCUAUGUAUAUAUCUACGUUUAAUGUCCAUGUAAAAAUACCUACAUAGAAUCUGCAGCGAAAAAACUAACAAAAUUAAAAUCUCGAUAAAUUUCAUUCGUCGCAAAUUUUAUUCUAUCUAACUACAACUGCUCGUUCACUAUCUUGUUUUAAACGAAUUCACGGUUAUAUACGAUGAAUCGUUGAUUUACAAUCAAGGUUAUCUAUAGUAAAUAUCCAUGUUAACAAUUUACGUUUUGAUUAAUUAUCAUACAAAUG